rnacentral:rRNA from 1 species
UAAGUCGACCGCCUGGGGAGUACGGCCGCAAGGUUAAAACUCAAAUGAAUUGACGGGGGCCCGCACAAGCGGUGGAGCAUGUGGUUUAAUUCGAUGCAACGCGAAGAACCUUACCUGGUCUUGACAUCCACAGAACCUUGUAGAGAUACGAGGGUGCCUUCGGGAACUGUGAGACAGGUGCUGCAUGGCUGUCGUCAGCUCGUGUUGUGAAAUGUUGGGUUAAGUCCCGCAACGAGCGCAACCCUUAUCCUUUGUUGCCAGCGGUCCGGCCGGGAACUCAAAGGAGACUGCCAGUGAUAAACUGGAGGAAGGUGGGGAUGACGUCAAGUCAUCAUGGCCCUUACGACCAGGGCUACACACGUGCUACAAUGGCGCAUACAAAGAGAAGCGACCUCGCGAGAGCAAGCGGACCUCAUAAAGUGCGUCGUAGUCCGGAUUGGAGUCUGCAACUCGACUCCAUGAAGUCGGAAUCGCUAGUAAUCGUGGAUCAGAAUGCCACGGUGAAUACGUUCCCGGGCCUUGUACACACCGCCCGUCACACCAUGGGAGUGGGUUGCAAAAGAAGUAGGUAGCUUAACCUUCGGGAGGGCGCUUACCACUUUGUGAUUCAUGACUGGGGUGAAGUCGUAACAAGGUAACCGUAGGGGAACCUGCGGUUGGAUCACCUCCUUACCUUAAAGAAGC